rnacentral:rRNA from 1 species
AUACGGAGGGUGCAAGCGUUGUUCGGAAUUACUGGGCGUAAAGCGCGUGCAGGCGGUAAGGUAAGUCAGAUGUGAAAGCCCCGGGCUCAACCCGGGAAGUGCAUUUGAUACUGCCUUUCUUGAGUAUGGGAGAGGAGAGUGGAAUUCCCAGUGUAGAGGUGAAAUUCGUAGAUAUUGGGAGGAACACCCGUGGCGAAGGCGACUCUCUGGACCAAUACUGACGCUGAGACGCGAAAGCGUGGGUAGCGAACAGGAUUAGAAACCCCAGUAGUCC